GAUUAAGUUAUUAAGGGCGCACGGUGGAUGCCUUGGCACUAGAAGCCGACGAAGGACGUUACUAACGACGAUAUGCUUUGGGUAGCUGUAAGUAAGCGUU
rnacentral:rRNA from 1 species